rnacentral:rRNA from 1 species
GGACGAACGCUGGCGGCGUGCUUAACCCAUGCAAGUCGAACGGAAAGGCCCGGCUUUUGUGGGGUGCUCGAGUGGCGAACGGGAGAGUAACACGUGAGUAACCUUCCCUUGACGUUGGGGUAACUUCAGGAAACUGGGGCUAAUGCCGGAUAGGAGCUCCUGCUGCAUGGUGGGGGUUGGUAAGUUUCGGCGGUUGGGGAUGGACUCGCGGCUUAUCAGCUUGUUGGUGGGGUAGUGGCGUACCAAGGCUUUGACGGGUAGCCGGCCUGAGAGGAUGACCGGCCAAGUUAGGACGGAACUGCGGCCCAGACCACUACGGGAGGCAGCGGAGCAGAGUAGUACACAAUGGGCGGAAGCAUGAUGCAGUAAAGCCGCGUGGGGUAUGUGGGCAAUCGGGUUGUAAUCUGAUUUCGCCUGAGACGAAGCGAGAAUGACGGUAAUGGGUGAAGAAGCACCGGCUAACUACGUG